rnacentral:rRNA from 1 species
AUUGAACGCUGGCGGCAUGCCUCACACAUGCAAGUCGAACGGUAACAGGUCUUCGGAUGCUGACGAGUGGCGAACGGGUGAGUAAUACAUCGGAACGUGCCCGAGAGUGGGGGAUAACGAGGCGAAAGCUUUGCUAAUACCGCAUACGAUCUCAGGAUGAAAGCAGGGGACCGCAAGGCCUUGCGCUCACGGAGUGGCCGAUGGCAGAUUAGGUAGUUGGUGGGAGAAAAGCUUACCAGGCCGACGAUCUGUAGCUGGUCUGAGAGGACGACCAGCCACACUGGGACUGAGACACAGCCCAGACUCCUACGGGAGGCAGCAGUGGGGAAUUUUGGACAAUGGGCGCAAGCCUGAUCCAGCCAUGCCGCGUGCAGGAUGAAGGCCUUCGGGUUGUAAACUGCUUUUGUACGGAACGAAAAGACUCUGGUUAAUACCUGGGGUCCAUGACGGUACCGUAAGAAUAAGCACCGGCUAACUACGUGCCAGCAGCCGCCGUAAUAC